ACAAGAUGCGUGUCGUUCUCCUGAUCACCAUCACAUUCACUCUAGCCCUUGCUCAUGGGUACAAUCGGCGUCCCUGUCAGACAAAUGGGAACAAUAAUGCAUACAACCAAUUUGUUCAAAAACACAUCCUUCAGGAGAACUUUGACAGACGGUCAGAGUCUGCAUGGAGAACGUACUUACGGAAGAAAGGACUGUGUGACAGACCAUUCCCGAUCCAGUCUUUCAUGGAGGAUCAGACAAUGGUCGAGAAUAUCUGUAAUGGCAACGGCAAACAACUGGGACAAAGUAACCUAUGCAUGAGUGACUCAACCAUGCUGGUAUAUGAUGUCAAAGUCAGCCAGAAUGGGGAUUGCAAUGUUGAAGAACUGUCCAAAAAGCAAAAAAAAGUGAUUGUGGCUUGUGAUAACGUUGCUAACCGCUGCCUCCCGGUUCAUUUCGAGAGGUACACUAACCAAAGUCCAGACCAAAAUGCUCAACCCUGCCAACCUCAAGUUUAGACUAUACCAAGUUUUGAAGGAUACACAGACGUUCCCGUUUCCAGGCUCAUUUCUGCCUGACAUCUAAAACCUCUCUGUCAAGCUUAGCUAAACAAAACCGUUUGUGCUUAAAAAGGGAAAGAUUUUUUGAAGUGGGGGUCGUAUGAGGCACUUAUUACCUACAGUAGACAGAUCUGCCAACUGCUACCUGCCAUGAUUAAAAUAAUGUGCCAUGCAUGAAAGGAAAAAUUUUAUUUGUAUUUAUAACAGUGUGGUAGGAUGGAUGUCAAUAUUUACCCAGGUUCAGCUCUUAAAAUAUAAUAAACAUACUUUCCAGUGUUUUUCCAACAUUAAAAUGUUUCAGAUAAAGCUACUUUACAACCUCUUACAACUGUUUCUUUAAUUGUCACCUUCAACCUGUCAAGGUUGGUAGAUUGUCUAUAUUAAACUGCCAUUUUCCAUGAUGAGUCCAAUUCAUACUGUUUUCCCUGUAAUCCUGUUAUAGUCAAACUAAUCUUCCCCUCAUGUAUAUCCUGUUGUAAAAUCCUGUCUAUUUUGCUUUGCAUAUUUCAAAUAAAUACAUUUAACCAAUAAAAAUAUGUGUUGUGUAUAGCACAAUCAGUUUGGCUUGCCUAACAUCAUAUUAACUCUUCUGGGUUGAACAUUUAUGUCUCAUGUGUUUCCUCAGGUGCUAAAGCAGCUCAGUAUUAAGCCACAAAGUCAAUUCCGCCAUACAUCUGAUCCCACAUUUAUAAAAAUGAGUCCUCAGACUCUGCCACCUGACUCUCACGUCACCUGUUUCCACUUUCCCUCUUCAGACCUGCACUCAGAAAGAAAUAAUAAGUUCUUACUUCUCAGUUAUGCCUUUGAUUUCCGGCCUCUGUAACCUGCCUGUAGCCAGAACCCUGAAACCAUACCUUUUUACUUUUGUUAAGCACUUUGUGACCUUGCUGUGUGAAAUGUGCCAUACUAAAUAAACUUUACUCACUUACCUACUUUAACCUUUAUCUGUACCUGCCUGCCAGUCUGUCUCCACCCCACCAGUCACUUGUUUGAAUUUUCUACCCAUACCAGUGAGCUAACUUUGUUAAUAUAUAUCAUUGAAAUGUUUCUGUCUGCCUGGAUUGCCUGUUGCCUCGCACUCACCUGCCUAAUAAUUGAAUACUGAGUAAAACAGGUGGACUGAGUUUUACCUGUGAAUUGGUUGUAGGCAUUUCCAAUGUUUUGUAUUACAGUACAUGUUAUGAUUAAUCCAAAUUUAAGAAAACU
rnacentral:lncRNA from 15 species